rnacentral:rRNA from 1 species
AACGGUAACGCGGGGCAACCUGGCGACGAGUGGCGAACGGGUGAGUAACAUAUCGGAACGUGCCCAGUAGUGGGGGAUAGCCCGGCGAAAGCCGGAUUAAUACCGCAUACGACCUACGGGUGAAAGGGGGGGAUCGCAAGACCUCUCGCUAUUGGAGCGGCCGAUAUCAGAUUAGGUAGUUGGUGGGGUAAAAGCCUACCAAGCCAACGAUCUGUAGCUGGUCUGAGAGGACGACCAGCCACACUGGGACUGAGACACGGCCCAGACUCCUACGGGAGGCAGCAGUGGGGAAUUUUGGACAAUGGGCGCAAGCCUGAUCCAGCCAUGCCGCGUGCGGGAAGAAGGCCUUCGGGUUGUAAACCGCUUUUGUCAGGGAAGAAACGCUCUGGAUUAAUACUCUGGGGUAAUGACGGUACCUGAAGAAUAAGCACCGGCUAACUACGUGCCAGCAGCCGCGGUAAUACGUAGGGUGCAAGCGUUAAUCGGAAUUACUGGG